CACGUAGGGUGCGAGCGUUGUCCGGAAUUAUUGGGCGUAAAGAGCUCGUAGGCGGUGUGUCGCGUCGGCCGUGAAAACCUGCAGCUUAACUGUGGGCUUGCGGUCGAUACGGGCAUCACUGGAGUUCGGCAGGGGAGAUUGGAAUUCCUGGUGUAGCGGUGAAAUGCGCAGAUAUCAGGAGGAACACCGGUGGCGAAGGCGGGUCUCUGGGCCGAUACUGACGCUGAGGAGCGAAAGCGUGGGGAGCGAACAGG
rnacentral:rRNA from 1 species